rnacentral:rRNA from 1 species
AUGGCCGGCCGCGACGACCUCGCCGCGCUCCGCGAGCAGACCGCCCUCGCCUCCUCCGCCGCCGUCUCCGUCUCCGACCUCGACCUCGCGUACCAGCUCCAGCUCGCCGAGGCCAUCCAGGCAUCUCUCCGCCUCGACGCCCUCGCCAGCAAUCCCUCCUCUUCCAAAGGCAAAGCCCCCGUCGCCGCCUCCUCCUCCUCCUCGUCCCUGUCCCAGCCCGCCCCCGCGCCGCCGGAGCCCUCGGACGCCUCAUACGCCCUGGCGAUCCACGCCGCCGACCUCGCGCGCGCCGAGGAGGACCACCGCUACGCCGAGGCCUGCCGCGCCUACUACGCCAGGGCCGCCGCCUCCGCCUGCGUCGCCGCCCACGACGCCAUUUUCGCGCGCGAGCUCGCCGCCGUCCCGGAGGACCAGUGGGCCCACGACGGAGACAACAUCGAGCGCCCUCUGGACUCGACCAAGCCCCUCUUCCGCGUCAUGUUCAAGGGCAUGGCGAGCAAGGAGGUGGUCGGAUCGCGGGACUGGGACCCCCGCGUCGCGGUCCUCGCCGUGGCGCUGUGCGACUCCCAGGGAAAGGUGGUGCUCAGGAUACAGAAGCCGGUGGAAGGGUUUGUGGGCGGUCGCAUGAUGCUCGAGGCAAUGGCGCUCACCGAAGGCCUCCAGGCGGCGCUCGGGUUAGGGAUCCAGAGCAUUAGGAUUCUCAACGAUUACAAGGCACUCCAUAACCAUAUGCGUGGAAUUUGGCGCCCGAAACAGGCGAAGCUUGCAGAAAUGAUAGAUCAGGUUCUGUCAGUAGCAAAGAAAUUCAAACAAUGUGAAAUUUCACUUGUGGAACGAGGCAAACUUGAUUACGUGAUGAAAUUAGCAAGAGAUUCGAUACUCUCUCAGAUUGCCAAAGCUGUUGCUGUGAAUGCUAGCAAGGAGAAAAGAGAGACCUGCGCCAUCUGCCUCGAAGACACCGAUGUUUCUAAAAUUCAUGUGGUCGAAGGCUGUGCACAUCGCUUUUGUUUCUGCUGCAUGAAGGAGCAUGUGAAAGUUAAGCUACUCCAUGGAACUCUCCCAGCUUGCCCACAAGAUGGUUGCACUACAAAGCUAACCAUGGAGGGUUCAAAGAUAUUCCUAUCGCCUCGACUGUUAGAUAUCAUGGUGCAACGCAUCAGGGAAGGACAGAUCCCUGCUACUCAAAAGAUUUACUGCCCGUACCCCAAGUGUUCAGCCUUGAUGUCCUUGAGUGAAAUGAAACACCCAUUGCAAGAAUCUUCCUCAAAGUACACCAUUGCUGAUGCUGCCACAUUGAGAAAGUGUGUCAAAUGCAGAGGCUCAUUCUGCAUCAGCUGGACAGGAUGUCUUGUUACGACUACAAGAGUAGGUACCCCCAAGCUCGUCCAGAUGAUGCGAAGUUACAGAACCUUGCACGGCAGCAGCUGUGGCGCCAAUGUGUCAAAUGCAAGCACAUGA